GGGGAUAACCCGUCGAAAGACGGACUAAUACCGCGUACACUCUAUGUUGGGCAUCCAAUGUAGAGGAAAUGAAAUUCGCUGUGAGAUAGGCAUGCGUCCCAUUAGCUAGUUGGUGAGGUAACGGCUCACCAAGGCGACGAUGGGUAGGGGAACUGAGAGGUUGAACCCCCACACUGGUACUGAGACACGGACCAGACUCCUACGGGAGGCAGCAGUGAGGAAUAUUGGUCAAUGGGCGAGAGCCUGAACCAGCCAAGUCGCGUGAAGGAUGACGGCCCUAUGGGUUGUAAACUUCUUUUGCAGGGGAAUAAAGAUAUUCACGUGUGGAUAGUUGUAUGUACCCUGCGAAUAAGCAUCGGCUAACUCCGUGCCAGCAGCCGCGGUAGUACGGAGGAUGCGAGCGUUAUCCGGAUUUAUUGGGUUUAAAGGGUGCGUAGGUGGACUGUUAAGUCAGUGGUGAAAGUUUGUCGCUCAACGAUAAAAUUGCCGUUGAAACUGGUGGUCUUGAGUAUGGAUGAAGUA
rnacentral:rRNA from 1 species